rnacentral:rRNA from 1 species
UACGAAGGGGGCUAGCGUUGUUCGGAAUCACUGGGCGUAAAGCGCAUGUAGGCGGGUCUUUAAGUCAGGGGUGAAAUGCCAAGGCUCAACCUUGGAACUGCCUUUGAUACUGGAGACCUUGAGUCCGGGAGAGGUGAGUGGAACUGCGAGUGUAGAGGUGAAAUUCGUAGAUAUUCGCAAGAACACCAGUGGCGAAGGCGGCUCACUGGCCCGGUACUGACGCUGAGAUGCGAAAGCGUGGGGAGCAAACAGGG